UCCGUAGGCGGGUAAUUAAGUCAGAGGUGAAAUCCCACAGCUUAACUGUGGAACUGCCUUAGAUACUGGUUAUCUUGAGUUUUAGUGAAGUAGAUAGAAUGUGUAGUGUAGCGGUGAAAUGCAUAGAUAUUACACAGAAUACCGAUUGCGAAGGCAGUCUACUAACUAACAACUGACGCUAAUGGACGAAAGCGUGGGGAGCGAACAGGAUUAGAUACCCGGUAGUCC
rnacentral:rRNA from 1 species